CCGGGAUCCGAUUAGAGUUUGAUCCUGGCUCAGAAUCAACGCUGGCGGCGUGCCUAACACAUGCAAGUCGAACGCGAAAGGGGCUUCGGCCCUGAGUAGAGUGGCGAACGGGUGAGUAACACGUGGGUGAUCUACCUUCGAGUGGGGGAUAACGUUCCGAAAGGAGCGCUAAUACCGCAUGACGUUCUGGGUUUGAAGACCUGGAAACCAAAGCUGGGGACCGCAAGGCCUAGCGCUUGGAGAGGAGCCCGCGCCUGAUUAGCUAGUUGGUGGGGUAAUGGCCUACCAAGGCGACGAUCAGUAGCCGGCCUGAGAGGGCGGACGGCCACACUGGGACUGAGACACGGCCCAGACUCCUACGGGAGGCAGCAAUCU
rnacentral:rRNA from 1 species